GUGCUGGGCUGGCUGCCAGGCACUCGCUCUGCACAGGACCGUGCCAUGUCCCUGUUUUCCUGGAAUUCAAGGAUGAUGACUCACACCAAGAGUAAGAGGAGAAAAGGUUUCUGUGCUCUGGUGGAA
rnacentral:lncRNA from 12 species